rnacentral:misc_RNA from 1 species
GAUGAAGAACGUAGCGAAAUGCGAUAAGUAAUGUGAAUUGCAGAAUUCAGUGAAUCAUCGAAUCUUUGAACGCACAUUGCGCCCCCUGGUAUUCCGGGGGGCAUGCCUGUCCGAGCGUCAUUACAACCCUCAAGCUCAGCUUGGUGUUGGGCCCCGCCGCCCCGGCGGGCCCUAAAGUCAGUGGCGGUGCCGUCCGGCUCCGAGCGUAGUAAUUCAUCUCGCUCUGGAGGUCCGGUCGUGUGCUCGCCAGCAACCCCCAAUUUUUUUCAGGUUGACCUCGGAUCAGGUAGGGAUACCCGCUGAACUUAAGCAUAUCAAUAAGCGGAGGA